GCAUGAAAGAACUCUUCCGAGGUACAAGAAUGCUCAGGAAACUUCUGAUGUCACAACUGGAAAAACAACGCUCGUGAUUGAGGGAGAAGAUUUGAAGGAGAUUGAUAGUCUGAAAGACGAGAUAACAAAGCUCCAAUUGAGACAAAUGUCUACAUCAAUUCUAAAACUCGUAAAAAAUUAUAUUCAAAACCUGAGGUGCUUCGACACAUUGCUGAGCUUGCUGAGAAGAGAUCAGGAGAGAUAGAAACACAUCAUGUGAAAGAAAAUGAAAUUCAGUUACCCACUGGUUGGAAGGUAGAAAAGAGACUCCGGAUGAGUGGCGUCGUGGCGUCAGAGCGGGAACUGCGUUUAAGGAGGGAGAUUUUUAAUCACCUUGCAAGGUGGCUGGAGGAUGCAAGGCAACACACUAAUGCAAACAUGACAAUCAUGCUUAUAGGUAUAAUUGUGACCGUGGAAGGUGAAUAGUUUCCCAAGGGACAUGGAUUGAUAUUUAUGAGUGUUAUGCAAAAACUGCUCAAAAUGUUCAGAAGGUACUGAAAUGCUUUUGAACGUUGUUGGCCAAUUCCUUGAAAAUUCAAUAUAAUUUAUUAUGGCUGUUGAAAAUUAAUUAAUUACUUGCAAGGUGAAGUUAUGAGAUUUGUGUUAAAGAUGAAUGACCAUGUGAUUCAAGUCUCGUCUAUCCCGGCUGCAUAUGGCUCCAUAAUACAGAGAAGUUCUGGUAUAGAGAUUAUUCAAGUAGGUCCAAAU